rnacentral:rRNA from 1 species
CGGCUUCCUACGGGAGGCAGCAGUGGGGAAUAUUGCACAAUGGGCGGAAGCCUGAUGCAGCGACGCCGCGUGAGGGAUGACGGCCUUCGGGUUGUAAACCUCUUUCAGCACGGAAGAAGCGAAAGUGACGGUACGUGCAGAAGAAGCGCCGGCUAACUACGUGCCAGCAGCCGCGGUAAUACGUAGGGCGCAAGCGUUGUCCGGAAUUAUUGGGCGUAAAGAGCUCGUAGGCGGUUUGUCGCGUCUGCUGUGAAAGCCCGGGGCUUAACCCCGGGUGUGCAGUGGGUACGGGCAGACUUGAGUGCAGUAGGGGAGACUGGAAUUCCUGGUGUAGCGGUGAAAUGCGCAGAUAUCAGGAGGAACACCGAUGGCGAAGGCAGGUCUCUGGGCUGUUACUGACGCUGAGGAGCGAAAGCAUGGGGAGCGAACAGGAUUAGAUACCCUGGUAGUCCAUGCCGUAAACGUUGGGCACUAGGUGUGGGGAACAUUCCACGUUUUCCGCGCCGUAGCUAACGCAUUAAGUGCCCCGCCUGGGGAGUACGGCCGCAAGGCUAAAACUCAAAUGAAUUGACGG